rnacentral:rRNA from 1 species
AGCUUGCUCCCGGAUGUUAGCGGCGGACGGGUGAGUAACACGUGGGUAACCUGCCUGUAAGACUGGGAUAACUCCGGGAAACCGGAGCUAAUACCGGAUAGUUCCUUGAACCGCAUGGUUCAAGGAUGAAAGACGGUUUCGGCUGUCACUUACAGAUGGACCCGCGGCGCAUUAGCUAGUUGGUGGGGUAAUGGCUCACCAAGGCGACGAUGCGUAGCCGACCUGAGAGGGUGAUCGGCCACACUGGGACUGAGACACGGCCCAGACUCCUACGGGAGGCAGCAGUAGGGAAUCUUCCGCAAUGGACGAAAGUCUGACGGAGCAACGCCGCGUGAGUGAUGAAGGUUUUCGGAUCGUAAAGCUCUGUUGUUAGGGAAGAACAAGUGCGAGAGUAACUGCUCGCACCUUGACGGUACCUAACCAGAAAGCCACGGCUAACUACGUGCCAGCAGCCGCGGUAAUACGUAGGUGGCAAGCGUUGUCCGGAAUUAUUGGGCGUAAAGGGCUCGCAGGCGGUUUCUUAAGUCUGAUGUGAAAGCCCCCGGCUCAACCGGGGAGGGUCAUUGGAAACUGGGAAACUUGAGUGCAGAAGAGGAGAGUGGAAUUCCACGUGUAGCGGUGAAAUGCGUAGAGAUGUGGAGGAACACCAGUGGCGAAGGCGACUCUCUGGUCUGUAACUGACGCUGAAGAGCGAAAGCGUGGGGAGCGAACAGGAUUAGAUACCCUGGUAGUCCACGCCGUAAACGAUGAGUGCUAAGUGUUAAGGGGUUUCCGCCCCUUAGUGCUGCAGCUAACGCAUUAAGCACUCC